rnacentral:rRNA from 1 species
AUUGAACGCUGGCGGCAGGCCUAACACAUGCAAGUCGAGCGAGCGGAGGACGGGUGAGUAAUGUAUGGGGACUGCCCGAUAGAGGGGGAUAACUACUGGAAACGGUGGCUAAUACCGCAUACUAUCGGCAAACCCAUAUGGGAGUAGCUAGUAGGUGGGGUAACGGAUCACCUAGGCGACGCGCUCUCGCUGGUCUGAGAGGAUGAUCAGCCACACGGGGACUGAGAAACGGCCCAGAUUCCUACGGAGGCAGCAGGGGGGAAUAUUGCACAAUGGGCGCAAGCCUGAUGCAGCCAUGCCGCGUGUAUGAAGAAGGCCUUAGGGUUGUAAAGUACUUUCAGCGGGGAGGCGUUACCCGCAGAAGAAGCACCGGCUAACUCCGUGCCAGCAGCCGCGGUAAUUC